GGGUUAGCGAGCGGAUCAGAGGGCGGGCUCUUAAUCCGUAGGUCGAGUGUUCGAGUCACUCAGGACCCACCA
rnacentral:tRNA from 1 species